rnacentral:rRNA from 1 species
CCUACGGGAGGCAGCAGUGGGGAAUAUUGCACAAUGGGCGCAAGCCUGAUGCAGCCAUGCCGCGUGUGUGAAGAAGGCCUUCGGGUUGUAAAGCACUUUCAGCGGGGAGGAAGGCGUUAAGGUUAAUAACCUUGUCGAUUGACGUUACCCGCAGAAGAAGCACCGGCUAACUCCGUGCCAGCAGCCGCGGUAAUACGGAGGGUGCAAGCGUUAAUCGGAAUUACUGGGCGUAAAGCGCACGCAGGCGGUCUGUCAAGUCGGAUGUGAAAUCCCCGGGCUCAACCUGGGAACUGCAUUCGAAACUGGCAGGCUAGAGUCUUGUAGAGGGGGGUAGAAUUCCAGGUGUAGCGGUGAAAUGCGUAGAGAUCUGGAGGAAUACCGGUGGCGAAGGCGGUCCCCUGGACAAAGACUGACGCUCAGGCGCGAGAGCGUGGGGAGCAAACAGGAUUAGAUACCCCUGUAGUC